AACACAACACAAUCUUCAUCAACACACAAACCAACAAGAACAACAAUGACUUUCAGCAUCAUCUUCAUCUGGACGCUCACAGUGUUUGCUCAAGAGUGUAGAGGACAGUACACUGUUACUCAGAGUCCAUCAACAACAGCAGUUCAACAAGGACAACAUGUUCAAAUAAAGUGUAAAGUCAGCAGUGCAGUAUUCACAGAUAACAGGGGUCCCCGAAUGAGCUGGUACUUACAGAAACCUGGAGAAGCUCCUAAACUCCUCAUAUAUUAUGCAACAACCCGCCAGUCUGGAGUAUCAUCUAGAUUCAGUGGCAGUGGAUCAAACACAGAUUUUACUCUGAGCAUCAGUGGAGUUCAGACUGAAGAUGCAGGAGAUUAUUACUGUCAGAGUUAUCACAGUGGUGGUGUGUUGACACAGUGAUAAAGAGUCGUACAAAAACCUCCGUCAGUCAGACUGAACAGUGACUGCACUGACACACUUCACACAUACUGCAGCUGCUCAUACAACACAAUGACUUGAUGUAGCAACAUUCUUUCAAUUAGACUUUUUUAUUACAAUUACUAUAAUUUGUAAUUAAUUGAAAAUAUAUAUAUUUUAUUUAUUUAUUUACUUAUUUGUUUACUGAUUUAAUUUUGAUCAAUGUAAAGUCUUGUCAGUAAUUGAUUGUCUGUCUGCGUUGGUUUAUUUCUUCCUUUUUUCUCUCUUGUGAAUUUAAAACACUCAUAAAAUAAUGACAUGUGAAUGUAGUUCAACAUCUCUAAAUAAAUAACAGCAUUUUCUAAGAUCACUACAUAGUUGAGGCUCUAAAUUAGAUUUUUUUUAUAAAUAAUUUACUCCACCUGCAGGUGUUGUUCAUGGUUUAUUGAGUGGCAUUCAUUUAUAAAAUGUGAGCUGAUGUUCUGGGCCGCGUUUCCCGAAACCUUCUUAUCGCUAUGCCGUUCUUACGUUAUAUCUUAAGCUGCACCUUAUCGUUAAUAUGUGUUUCCUGAAACCUUCUCAGUUAAGUAUAUCGUCUGUAAGUCAUAUAUGUUCAGAAGUUUGGUCUGGAGAGCUCUUAGCUAAACCUUUUGACUGUUAAAGGGUAAGCU